rnacentral:rRNA from 1 species
CCUACGGGAGGCAGCAGUGGGGGAUAUUGCACAAUGGGGGGAACCCUGAUGCAGCGACGCCGCGUGGGUGAAGGAGUGCUUCGGCAUGUAAAGCCCUAUCGGCAGGGAAGAAGCAAGACGGUACCUGACUAAGAAGCCCCGGCUAACUACGUGCCAGCAGCCGCGGUAAUACGUAGGGGGCGAGCGUUAUCCGGAUUCACUGGGUGGAAAGGGAGCGUAGACGGCCAAGCAAGCCAGGGGUGAAAGCCCGGGGCCCAACCCCGGGACUGCCCUUGGAACUGCAUGGCUGGUGUGCGGGAGGGGCAGGCGGAAUUCCUGGUGUAGCGGGGAAAUGCGUAGAUAUCAGGAGGAACACCGGCGGCGAAGGCGGCCUGCUGGACCGCGACUGACGUUGAGGCUCGAAAGCGUGGGGAGCGAACAGGAUUAGAUACCCUUGUAGUC